CUUGCAGGGAAGCUACCCAGUGUGGGAAGAUUUUAUAAAUAAAGCUGGGAAGUUGCAGUCUCAGCUUCGGACUACAGUAGUAGCAGCUGCUGCCUUUUUGGAUGCCUUUCAGAAAGUGGCUGACAUGGCUAC